AAUUAAUUGUAAACCGUACAAAUAAAUUGAUUAUUUCCAACAAAUUCCUUCGGGGUUCAGGGAUUCCCAUUUUUCUAACAGAGAAUGCAAAUAAAAUUUACAUUUAAGUUGUAUCCAUUGCCGUAUUUAUUUUGUUAUUUAUGAUAUUUUUCAACAAGUCUGUAGCAAUGUACUUGAAACAUAACGAUAUGGUAUUACACAGACUGUUAGCUCAUCUAAAGGAAGGUGCUCGCAAUACCGUUAUCGGUGCAUAUAGGGAACAGGUAUAUAAAGUUGUUACUUAAAUCCAUAAUAUCAUACAAAAUUCUAAGACAGAACCAUGAAGGCGUGUUUUGUUUUCGCUAUCCUCUUGGUGGUGGCUUUUGCCACUUUCGCGCAAAGCGAGGAAGUUUCAAAUGUGCAAGAGCUUCCUAUACAAAAAAGGCAAAUUAACGCACGAUAUCCCUCUUGCCAGCUAUGGGAGUGCUCAUCAAAUUGUAGAAGGAGAGGCUUUAGAGGAGGAUACUGCGCUUUCACUGGAUGUCAAUGCUAUUGAUCGGUUAAAACAACUCAAACAAUUUAAACAUUUUCAUAAAAUAUUAACUAGAUGGUUAUAUUUUAUAUCAAGUUAUCAUUUCCAUCUAUUUCAAACAUUCGUUUGUUAUUUAUUUCAAUAAAUAAAUAUUAGACAAUAAAUAAAUAAUGAUAAAUCAAAUAAGCUUAUCUUUUUCAAAAUAUUUCUAUUGCCAAAUUUAAAAAAAAUGUUAAAUAACGCUCGUGUACGAAAGGUUGUUACAAAAUUAGUGAUUUAAUAAUGGUUGAUAGCUCACCUUGGGAAUGAAGCGAUCGCCUCCUGGAAAUUUCUUUUUUGAUAUUGAAUUUUAGUAAAUAGUAACAAAUUGAGAAAAAAAAGACCCGCUGAGUUUCUUUCCCCGGUUCUUCUCAGGUCAAGGUAAUUUAUUUACCGGUCGUAGAGUUCAUUUGAUAAUUUAAAUUAGUGUAACGAUACAAAUAUUAGUGUUUUUUUUUGUCAUUUUUUUUGUCUCAUUUGCUGUUGAAACACUUCGUCCUUAGAGUAGUAGUGCAAAAACCUUCAUUAAAAGUAUAUCGUCUUAUUGCAUCCACUGGUGACAGGAGGACUGGUUUUAUUUUUUGCCCAGCAGAGGAUCAGGAUUGCGAUUUAACGGGGAAAUACUGCUAGCAUUCUGACCACCAUUACACGUGGUCAUUAACAGUAAUUUAAGGACUUAGUGUAUUGCUUCUGUUAUAUUGAAUAAAGGAAUUUUAUUUGAUUUAA